rnacentral:rRNA from 1 species
CGUGUACAAGUCUCCUGGAAGGGAGCAUCGUAGAGGGUGACAAUCCCGUCUCUGACACGGACCGCCGGCGCUAUGUGAUGCGCUCUCGACGAGUCGAGUUGUUUGGGAAUGCAGCUCAAAUAGGGUGGUAAACUCCAUCUAAAGCUAAAUACGGGCGAGAGACCGAUAGCGAACAAGUACCGUGAGGGAAAGAUGAAAAGAACUUUGGAAAGAGAGUUAAACAGUACGUGAAAUUGCUGGAAGGGAAACGCUUGACGUCAGUCGCGUCGUCCGGGGAUCAACCUUGCCCUCUGGCUGGGCGUAUUUCCCGGUCGACGGGUCAGCAUCGAUUUCGACCGUCGUAGAAGGACUGGAGCGAAUGUGGCACUCCACGGAGUGUGUUAUAGCCUCCCGUAUGGAUGCGACGGUCGGGAUCGAGGAACUCGGCACGGCCCCUCGAGGGUUCGGGGCUUCGGUCCACGCAGCGUGCCCAGGAUGCUGGCAUAAUGGCUUUAAGCGACCCGUCUUGAAACACGGACCAAGGAGUCUAACGUGCCUGCGAGUGUUUGGGUGCAAAACCCGAGCGCGAAACGAAAGUGAAAGUCGAGACCUCCGUCGCGGAGGGCACCGACGCCCGGACCGGAGCCUUUGGCGAUGGAUCUGCGGUAGAGCAUGUAUGUUGGGACCCGAAAGAUGGUGAACUAUGCCUGAAUAGGGCGAAGCCAGAGGA